AUAUCUAGUCAGGCUAUCCACAUUAUCCAUCUUGCCUUUUUCCUUAAUCUCAAUCAUUCAAUCAUACACAACAUGUAAACCAGUAAUUGACACUAAACAAGAAACACAGUAUCAGGUUCACAAUAAUACAAACCAUAAUAAAAGAAAUCAUGAUUCAUGCAUACGAGACCAUAACACAAUUACAUCAAACAUCAUACUGCAUUUAAUACUAAAAAUUAGAUCAACCAACAACUGACCAACAAUGUAUCAAACUCGGACUCCAUUGGCAACCUUAAUCAAUGAUA
rnacentral:lncRNA from 1 species